AUGAAGCUGGAAUUGCUAGUAAUCGCGGAUCAGCAAGCCGCGGUGAAUACGUUCCCGGGCCUUGUACACACCGCCCGUCACACCAUGAGAGUCGGGAACACCCGAAGUCCGUAGUCUAACCGCAAGGGGGGCGCGGCCGAAGGUGGGUCCGGUAAUUGGGGUGAAGUCGUAACAAGGUAGC
rnacentral:rRNA from 1 species